rnacentral:rRNA from 1 species
GACGGACGCUGGCGGCGUGCUUAACACAUGCAAGUCGAACGGUGAAGCUCCAAGCUUGCUUGGGGUGGAUCAGUGGCGAACGGGUGAGUAACACGUGAGUAACCUGCCCCGGACUCUGGAAUAAGCGCUGGAAACGGCGUCUAAUACUGGAUAUGACCUCAAGCCGCAUGGUUAUGGUGUGGACAGUUUUUCGGUCCGGGAUGGGCUCGCGGCCUAUCAGCUUGUUGGUGAGGUAAUGGCGCACCAAGGCGACGACGGGUAGCCGGCCUGAGAGGGCGACCGGCCACACUGGGACUGAGACACGGCCCAGACUCCUACGGGAGGCAGCAGUGAGGAAUAUUGCACAAUGGGCGCAAGCCUGAUGCAGCGACGCCGCGUGAGGGAUGACGGCCUUCGGGUUGUAAACCUCUUUCAGCACAGACGAAGCGCAAGUGACGGUAUGUGCAGAAGAAGGACCGGCCAACUACGUGCCAGCCGCCGCGGUAAAAC